UACGUAGGGGGCAAGCGUUGUCCGGAAUCAUUGGGCGUAAAGCGCGCGUAGGCGGCCCGGUAAGUCCGCUGUAAAAGUCCAGGGCUCAACCCUGGAAAGCCGGUGGAUACUGUCGGGCUAGAGUCCGGAAGAGGCGAGUGGAAUUCCUGGUGUAGCGGUGGAAUGCGUAGAUAUCGUAAGGAAGACCAGUGGCGAAGGCGGGUCUCUGGACAGUUCCUGACGCUGAGGCACGAAGGUCAGGGGAGCAAACGGG
rnacentral:rRNA from 1 species